UACGUAGGGUGCGAGCGUUAAUCGGAUUUACUGGGCGUAAAGCGUGCGCAGGCGGCCCGUUAAGACAGGUGUGAAAUCCCUGGGCUCAACCGUGGAAUUGCCUUUGAAACUGCUGGGCUUGGAUCCUGGAGAGGGUGGCGGAAUUCCUGGUGUAGCAGUGAAAUGCGUAGAUAUCGGGAAGAAUACCCGUGGCGAAGGCGGCUUCCUAGACCGAAACCGACGCUGAAAUGCGAAAGCUAGGGGAGCGAACAGG
rnacentral:rRNA from 1 species